rnacentral:rRNA from 1 species
ACGCGUACCCAUACCGAACACGACCGUUAAGCCUUCCAGCGCCGAUGGUACUUGGACCGCAGGGUCCCGGGAGAGUAGGACGUCGCCAAGC